rnacentral:rRNA from 1 species
UACGGAGGGUGCAAUCGUUAUCCGGAAUCACUGGGUUUAAAGGGUGCGUAGGCUGCUGCAUAAGUCAGGGGUGAAAGUUUGUCGCUUAACGAUAGAAUUGCCUUUGAUACUGUGCGGCUUGAAAUUAGGUGAGGUUGGCGGAAUGUGACAUGUAGCGGUGAAAUGCGUAGAUAUGUCAUAGAACACCGAUUGCGAAGGCAGCUGGCUAACCUAAAUUUGACGCUGAGGCACGGAAGCGUGGGUAGAAAACAGG